CGGCUUUCUGACCGGGGUUUCGGCCUGUUAGAUAUGCUGAACCGAGAAAUCCUUUGUAAAUAUAUAUAUAUAUAUAUAUUUUGGCUAAAGUUUUAGGUGUUUAUUCCCAAUGGAUUUCAUCUCUAUUUUAAUGAUUCAGUAACACAAGGUAGCAUCAUGCUAAAGGACUGCAUUUAAACAUUGUUACCAGAAAAGCGUGAACUUUUCCUACCCACUGAUCUCUACUAUUCCCUGACCUGUUUGCCAGCAGGUGGAGGCAGGAGCACUGACACCGCAGGUCCCCAGGGACGCUACCGGGUUAACAUCUGGCGUCGUUGCUGUUGCUUUUGCAAAACACAGUUCAUGCGAAGAACGCUUGCUUUUUGGUCAUUUUUAUUGCCUUUUGUAGUAAUACGGUCUGUAGGUUGCAGUGUAGUAAAUAUAGUUUAUUUUAAUUCAGAAUUCCAGGACACUCUCCUAGUUACUUUAACACUCUUCUGGUUACUCUGCUUUUACUUUAAAAGAAAUUAGAGUGUAUCUCCCUCAUUUGUGUUGAUGGACAGGGAAUAGUGCAAAAUACAAAUAUCAGUUACACAUAUCACUUCGAAUUAUCUGUUGACCAUAGUUCUUACUUUGUUUGAGAUUUUCCUGUCAUAAAAUUUGAAUUAAUAUGUGUGAAUACAUUUUGAAAAUGACAAAGUGCCUUUCUGUCAUGGACGUUGUUACUAGCAUUGCCUUGUAUCCCAGUUUUUGAAAGAUUGGCAAAGGGUCCAAAACUUUGUUGUCUGUCAGAUGGAAGCCAACCCAAGCGUUAACUGAGUGAAGUCGCAGCACAUUUGCCAUGGAGUGAUGAACAGUGGUGUUGUCUCCAUCUACUGGCAAAGAAGAAAUAUACACAAGGGUCUGGGAUGAUCUAAGAGAUUUUGGAGAAACCACAUUAUUAGUUUCUGUUCCUGCAGAUCCACCAAUUCAAGACUCUAGGUCAUCUCAC